rnacentral:rRNA from 1 species
AUGAAGCAAAGCAAUGGAUGCAAGAUUCAUCAUCUCUUGACCCUGGAAGUCAUUGGUCUGGGCUUCCUGUGCACAGUGUCAGGGGCCAACAAUGGUGGGGUCCCAAGAAUCCUAAUCUCUUUGCAGCAGCAGCAGCAGCAGCCUGCAGCUGGAGGGCCUUUUCACCCCCCCUCCAAUGAGACAAGGGCAUCUUUGCUCAUAUCGAGCCUGGCCAAGGCUUGGAUCGAACGCCUCUUCAUCUUGCACAUCAGUGCGUUUGUGGUCGCAGCAGGACUGAAGUCUCCGGCUGACAUGCGCAGCAGCGAUCGAUUCAAGGCCUCCCUCCCAAAGGACCAUCUCUUGUGCACCACAUGGAGAAUCGCUUAUAAAAUACAGGAGCAGCAGCAAAGAAGGGCUAGCAUCUCGAGAUUGCCAGUGCCAAGGACUCGCCCCCUAUCCGCAGCAAGAUUUGGCGCAAGGAAAAUUUCCGCACGACCGUUCCUGCUUCCCACCCCCUUCGCCGCCAUUGCUCGGCCUCGGCCCGCUCCGGUCCAUUUUCCCCGGCCAUUCUUCGCCGCCAUGGAAGCCUCCCAGCCGUCCCCCGUCACCGUGGAUGUCGCGUACGCGCAAUCCCCUCUAGCAGAUCUCGUCGUCGACCAUGUCGCCUCCGCCGUCGCUCAAGGCACCACCGCGCCUGCUCGCAAGCGGCAGGGCAAUGUGGUCGUGCAGGGCGGAAAUUUGGCUGGCCCCGCGGGGAAGGCACGCGAGAUCUGCUCGGCCGCUGCUGGAGAAGAUGGACAAAGUUUCGGGCGUGAAGCGCAAGAAGGUUCCUACGAAAAGGCCGGCGCCUUCAUCCUCUCCCUCCACCCCGGCAAGAGCGGUGGUUCGAACGAUGCCACUGCCGAGUUCGUCAACUUGUUGGACACCAACACCGUCGACAUCGAUCAAGCCCCGUUCGCUGAUUUCGAUUACAAUGAAAUGGAGGGUGGCGUGGAUGAUCACGGUGGUGAAGAUGAAGUGGAGGAGAUAGACGAGGGGGUGUAUGAGCAAGCACAAGCAAAAAAAGGCGCGAGAUCGAAGAACUAUACGAUGUUGGAAGACCAAAUCUUAAUCAAGGCUUGGAGUGCAGUGUCUCUUGAUGCUUGCACUGGUACAUCUCAAACCACCAAGAGGCACUGGCAAAGGAUCGAAGGUCAAUACUUCCGCAUGAUGGGAAAGUAUCCCAAUAGGACUCCACGCACCUUUCGGUCACUCCAAGGUCGUUGGGAUGUGAUCAAGCCGAUUUGUAGCCGUUGGGCUGCUUGCUUGGAACAAGUUCACAAUGCACCUCCAAGUGGAACCAUGGAAUCCGACUAUUUGAUUGACAGAGAAUCCCCACCGAAGAGAGUUUCACUUACUAACAUGGAUGAAGAUGAAGAUAAUGAUGGCCCACGAAACUUGAACAAGCCCGUUGGAGACAAGAAGACAAGGGAGACGAUCAAGAGGGAACACGAUGCAUCGAGCUUGCAGGACAAGAUAGAUGUCAUGGUGCAAUCAAAUGAGUUGAUGUUGGCGAAGACAUUGGAGGCAAAGAAAGAGUUGGCCGAGAAGAAGGCACGAGAGAAGCAAGAGAAGUGGCAAUUGCUCAAGGACGAGGGGUUGCGCAAGGCAGCCAUUGAGGAGAGAAGAGCAUAUGCCGCUGAGACCAAAGCCAUGGCCAAGCUUCUUGCCGAAGAGAACAGGAUCAUGACAUUGAACCGUGAAGACAUGGACGACAUCACCAAAGAAUGGCAUGAUAUGGCAAGGAGAGACAUCUUGAAGAGGAGGAUGCUAGCGGCGGCCGGUGGGUGUUUCGGUGCCGGUGAUGUUUUCCCAUCAGGAGCUGGAACCAGUCCGCUGAUGCAUUCAGUGUGUCCGGCGAUGCUUUCGGUGCCGGAGUUGGAACACGUGCCGGUGAUGGAUUCGGGGGCGGCGAUGACAUUGAUGGCGGUGCGGCUAUACCUACUUGAGAAGGGGACGGGAGUGCAUGGGAGGGAUAUGGAUUCAGAACGAGGUUGCGUCCGUCCACGUAAACGUGGGAGGCGUACGUUGGUCCAACCAGCAGAGAGCAGACCGAUGGUUUCGGGGUGCGGGGCGGUGUACGUGCCUCAGGCACCAGGAGCAUUCACAAACCUUCUUCCCUUGUGGGCCGCCCGCCCGCCGAGAAUCUCAGAUUUGGAGCGUGGAGUGGACUGGACAGCCACGCGGGAGGGAGGGGCGGUUCUCCUCGUCGCCGACCGACCUCGCUCGCUCGCUCGGUCAAGCGGAAAACUCACCCAUUUUACAUGUGACGAGUGA